AUUGAAACACUGGUUUCUGUAUGAUCACUAAAGUUAAGCAAUGUUGAGCCUGGUCAGUACCUUGAUGGCGACCACUUGGGAAUAUCAGGUGCUGUAAG